ensembl:lncRNA
CUUAAAUCUGUAAGCUUUGGAGGCCUUCAUUUUACAUGGGUGUUACAUUUUGUUGUUUUUAAGUCAACAAAUGUUCCAUCUUCGCAAUAACUAUCUUUCACAUGGACACUGAUAAGAUCCACAAAUGGCUGUAUGUGGUUUGGAUCAAGGACAGGAGAGGUGUUCGAACAGAGGUGCGUAAAGGAAGGUGCACAGGUAGGCCUCAUGAAAAACAGUGUUUCAUAUGCUCUUUUUAAUCACAGUAAUAGGCAGUGAUUUGUAAGUCACAGUGAGCUUGAUAACGUGAAGGAAUCCUUUUCAUAGCGUCACUUUUAUAUACUGUACAUUAAAACAAAUCCUUCUAUGUUGAGUUUUAGAAUUCAGUUUACGUGAUCUGAUAAUGACUUGAUAUUUGAGUGUAUUCACAAGCCACAUGCAGACAACUUACAAAAUGCAAUAUUGCAUUUGAGGGUUUGUUUUUCUGAUGAAAAUAGUUAUGAUGCAUGGUCUACUAUUUCUAACUGGGAAAAUAAAUUCCUACGUCUUUUGUGGGUAAAAUCCUUUUUCCAAAAUUGACAUUUUUGUGAAGAGGCAUGAGGGUUGUGAAAUGGGUCAUUUAAUAGUAAAAUAAUUUAAGGGAUCUAUACAUUUCUAUAUUGCUUCCCCAGUAUCGGCAUGAACCACCAGGCCAAGUGUUUUUGGUUGACCCUGCUGGACAGAAAGAGAAGGAGGAAUCGGAACACGCUGCAUUCAAAAUCAGAGAAUACUUCAAAAUGAGAAGAUCCUGCCAUGGAAAAGACGACUGGGUGGACAUAAAGUGGAAAGGAGGGGAAAUAACUCCCACCAUGCAGCAGGACACCUUCAGCUGGGGUCUUUAUAAUACAGGAAGUUGCACAGAACUUCCCC